UACGUAGGGGGCAAGCGUUGUCCGGAUUUAUUGGGCGUAAAGAGCGUGUAGGCGGCCAUACAGGUCAGCUGUGAAAACUCGAGGCUCAACCUCGAGACGUCGGUUGAAACCGUAUGGCUAGAGUCCGGAAGAGGAGAGUGGAAUUCCUAGUGUAGCGGUGAAAUGCGUAGAGAUUAGGAAGAACACCAGUGGCGAAGGCGACUUACUGGACUGUAACUGACGCUGAGGCAUGAAAGCGUGGGGAGCAAACAGG
rnacentral:rRNA from 1 species